UACUUGUUUGGAGCUGCUGCACUAUUUUGUUACUGAUGAGAUGUGCUUUGGUGCCCCCUUUUUUUUGUGUGGCUUUUUUGGUCUGCACCAGACAACGUUGAUCUGGGAACAGCAUGUGGAAAGUAUUUCCGCGUGUCAUGCCUUAGCAUUAUUGAUCCAGGCGAUUCAGACAUCAUCAAGACACUGCCCGGGGAUCAGUGAGAGAAUUUCAUCUUUUAGUGUAUUUUCUGUCUUCAAACAAGUAGGGUCGUGUUUUCUUAGGAUUGUGUUAGUUGAAAGUGCUGGAUCCUUUACUGUGCACUUAUUUUAGCAAGUUAUUUCAAUUUAAUGAGUGUACCAUUUAUAUCUAAUUGUAGUGUUUUAUUUUUAAACGUAAAAAGCUUUGAGUCGCUAUAAUAGUGUUUAAUCAGUGAAUUGAGAUAUAUUAUUAUUGUUAGAUUCCAAAAUUGUUUCUCUCCUGCCUCUAAA